rnacentral:lncRNA from 1 species
GCACCGCCGCCCCAGGCCCCGCAGCCGCCGCGUCGCCGCCAUUUUUUAAAGGGUCCGCAGCCUGACUCUGCGGAGUAAGGGGGGCUGGAGCGGGGGGAGUCGGCCUCGCCAGUGCGCAUGCGCGAGGCCCAAGCCGCCGCUUGGGUCAAAGUGAAAGCCACCGUUGCCCGGGGAUGGGUCCCUGACACUUGGCGAAGUAGGAGCCCUGUGUGAUCGUGCGUCUGAGUCUGGGCUGAGACCAGUCCUGGCCAGGGCAGUUACCAGGACGGUCUCCGGAGGCCGGGAUUCGCGGAGGGUCCACCAGCAGGAAGAAACCCCAAGAGGAAGAAACCUCAGACAGAUCGCCGGCGAGGCAGCGCGGGAUCCCAGCCUCAGGCGUGCGCGGACGGUGUGCGGGUGGAAACCCCCUUCCCAUGGGGUGAAGCGCAGUCUGCUCCAGAGACCCACUGUUAGGGUCGGGGAUGUCACAGAAAUUAACAGGGCAGCCAAUUCCCAUCCAGAGGGGCCCAGGAUGACCCCGAACCCUCUAGCUCAGCCCCAAGCUCGGGCCAGGGAGUGAAGCCUUUGUCCCCAAGCAACAGAGUGAGGGUCUGUCUCUAACCCGGUGGGCUCCAGUGAAAGGAAAAUGGCCUGGAGGUGCCCACAGGAGGGCGCCCUAGUUCUGAGACAGGUCUACGGCUCCCAGACUGUGUCCCCAUGAGUAACAGAGGGACACGCAGAGGGGCAUACUGAGUGCCUAUAGGGGACUCACAGACUGCAGAUGCACGCUGCGGAUCCAGAAGCCGGUCAGGUAAUGAGGUGCAGAGGUGUGGGGAAGACCUGGGUGCCUCCCUGGGUGCCAACCAGCCUAACCAGCCGGGGCCACCAAACAGAAGUGCUUCUGACAUUAACGCGACACACAGAAGCGCACACAACCAAGCUUAGGAGCCGACUGUUAAGAUGCCCCAGUGACACGGACAAGUUUCUCCUCUGCAACCCAAUGAGAGCUGCUGACCACGAGAGCAUCGCGGGACCGCCAAAGGAUUCUGGAAAAUGUGGUCCCGGGUGGCCAGUGUGCGCUGACCUUCACCUGAAGGUACGGCUUGAAGGAAACUUCUGGAGGGUGGGGUGGUGUUGAAGAGAAGGCACAAUUGUCACCAUUUUGUUCAACAUGGGCGUUUUCUUUGUGCAUUGAUUUGCAUUUUUAAAGAUCCUAUGUGUCAGAGGUCGGGAAACUACAUCAGCCCCAGUCCGGGCGCCC